rnacentral:rRNA from 1 species
AUUGAACGCUGGCGGCAGGCCUAACACAUGCAAGUCGAACGGUAACAGAAAGCAGCUUGCUGCUUUGCUGACGAGUGGCGGACGGGUGAGUAAUGUCUGGGAAACUGCCUGAUGGAGGGGGAUAACUACUGGAAACGGUAGCUAAUACCGCAUAACGUCGCAAGACCAAAGAGGGGGACCUUCGGGCCUCUUGCCAUCGGAUGUGCCCAGAUGGGAUUAGCUAGUAGGUGGGGUAAAGGCUCACCUAGGCGACGAUCCCUAGCUGGUCUGAGAGGAUGACCAGCCACACUGGAACUGAGACACGGUCCAGACUCCUACGGGAGGCAGCAGUGGGGAAUAUUGCACAAUGGGCGCAAGCCUGAUGCAGCCAUGCCGCGUGUAUGAAGAAGGCCUUCGAGUUGUAAAGUACUUUCAGCGGGGAGGAAGGGAGUAAAGUUAAUACCUUUGCUCAUUGACGUUACCCGCAGAAGAAGCACCGGCUAACUCCGUG